CGAGUGGCGGACGGGUGAGUAAUGUCUGGGAAACUGCCUGAUGGAGGGGGAUAACUACUGGAAACGGUAGCUAAUACCGCAUAACGUCGCAAGACCAAAGAGGGGGACCUUCGGGCCUCUUGCCAUCAGAUGUGCCCAGAUGGGAUUAGCUAGUAGGUGGGGUAACGGCUCACCUAGGCGACGAUCCCUAGCUGGUCUGAGAGGAUGACCAGCCACACUGGAACUGAGACACGGUCCAGACUCCUACGGGAGGC
rnacentral:rRNA from 1 species